GGAAGAUUUGUGUCAGAUGAGCUCAGUAGCAUUUACCUCUGAUUAAACCCGUGACUUCUACAAGGUACUGCAUGGCCACACGAUGGGUUUUACUCUUUGGAACUACAGCACCCCAACACCUCAGCCAGGGAAGCAUCUGACAGUGACAGUUUCGAAAGGUACCAGCUAUCAAUAGCACCGCUUCAAGAACCCAUAACAAUCUCAGCUUUACAGCAGACAGUAGGUAAGCUGGUCAGUGAUCUAAAUAAAGUAGAUGAAUGAAUGCAACCGUCUGUCACAUGUGCAUUGUGUGCAACAAAGGUAAAUUUAAGUUGAGCUAAGGAUGUUUUAAGAGCAAGUGUGCAAAGCUGAGCUUCUGAAUAGGUAUUAUGUCCUAUCAAGGACUCAUUGUUUAGCAGAUCCUAUAUCUAACAAUGCCUCAUUGUGAAGGCUCCAAAGAUCAGUGCAUUAAAUACCAGUUUUUCAGACCCCUUCACAUUUUCAGUGUCUUCCAGUGCUGCAAACACUUGGAUAUUCUUGCUACAUUCGUACCUGUAUGGGCACCUCUUGGCUGUGUCUGCGUUAUCCUGUGAGUGGGAGAAAUAGCUCAAACCAACGGGCUUAAUUCUACAAGAAUUGUAUUCUAUCCCAUUCCACAAAAAUCUCCUUUUUGGGAUAUUGGAAAGCUACUUCACAUGUGAGAAAAGAAAUCUGGAUUUCACAAAUGGUUCCACCUGGACGGCUACUUCAGACAGAGACCAGGAGAAGUAUCGCUGUGGAAGGCCUGUGAUCAACAUGCAUUUAGGUGUCCAGGCUCUGCACAUGUGACUGGAGGGAGGAUAUGGCCUUCCACGGGAGGAAAGAUUCCGGUUCAUUAUUCUUUAUGUAGGAAGUGGAUUUAUGUGAUGCCGUCAUGAGCAAGGGAGGCAAUCACUGCUUCCUUGCUGAUGACUGAAUCUACGUGUAUACACUGUAAUCUGAUUACUGAAAUUGGGUAGAAGGCUGGUGAUGGGAUCAGCAAUGGAGCAGCACCGUGGCUCAGGAGUGCCAGCUGAGACAUCUCCACACUGCUGCUGCUUCGGAGAAGGUAGAACAUUGCUUUCUCUGUGUGAGAAAACACCCUGGAUUUUCCAUCGGCCAGUGCUGUGUCUUUUCUGAAAGACACCUCCCUCCAGGCCACAUGGCCUGGUGAAGGCCUUGCUGCAGUGACUCAGUGGGCAGCGUGCCACCCACCGCGCUCAACCACCCACGCUUCCUGGAGCGCCCAUGACCCAGGUGGAGUCCCCAGGUGGCCCGACCUUGCCAGCUUGGGAUGAGGUAAUUCAGCUGCAGACUAAAUAACCACUGAAUCGAAUUAAAAGGGAUGUAGCAGAAGGACAUAUCUUGGAUUUCGAUUCAUGAAGGUCAUUCUCAUUUAAGACAUGAUUCUUAACCCACCACACAGGGCAAAAACCCACCCAUGCAAAAACGUCUUCAUGGAUGUUGCAAAUAACCAAUUUUUAUUACAUU